UCUAUGCACAUUAUGCUUCAUAUUUAUCAUAUGUAAACUAAUUGCUGCUCAGUAUACUGAUGUCGCACAGAAAUUGCUUUUAACUGGCUGCCUUUAAAAACUGUAAAAAAGUGCCUUAUUUUACAUUUGCAGCAGUUUGUACGUGUUCAUUUAACCAGUGACAAUGUGCAGCUGACCAUAAAUACAAACUGUUGCACAGGAUUAACAAUCACCAAAUCUAACAAAUGACAGCAGCAGAAGUUUGAUGUUGUAUGUUGUUUCCUUGAGAUUUACUGUUGUACAAACAUGUUCCAGCCUUUACAAACAGUAUGAAAAGGAGAUUUUACUACUAAAAUGUUCUGGUCAUGUGUAUUCACUCCACUGACUUGAGAGUUCACAGAGAGGAAGGUUGUGUUUUACAUGUGUCAUGACUAUCAGACAUGUUAUUACUUUGUUUUUUUCAACUGCCAGUUUGUACAUUUGUUAUGUCAAAUACUACAUACUACUACAGUCGGCAAACAAAUUUAAACUAACCUUCGAACCAACCACAAACAACCGUUUGUCAGUACUGUGAGAACACUUGGUACCGCAAUUUUUUGUCGAACAGUGAGUCGAGUGACACUUUUUGAAUGUUGCCUUCAUUCUCAGGUCCAAAUGAGAAAAGUAACAUGUAAUGAAUUCAACCAUUAAAUCACAGAGAGAAGAGGCAGACGAUGAAGAUGUUUCCAGAAGACGCCUGGGCUCCCACUGUGAGUACACCAACAUCAGGAAGGGAAGGCUUCUGAUCUGAGUGAGCUGCAGUGACCUCCUUCAGACUGUGGCGAGAAGAAAUGAAGUUCUGCCCCCCCAGUCAGCUGUCCACGCACCGGAGGGUCCUGUUCACUCUUCACCGCAAACUAAACGCCGGGUGGGACGGACCCCACCCGACCCCCCCGUUGCUCCAUCGCACCGUGAGGUCCCCUUCGCCACUGGACGGCUCUUCACCCCAGUCUGCUGGCAGCUGCGGGACGCGAACCAGCUCCCGGAGGAGCUGCUUCUGACGUUGCAGCGCAACGCUUAUCCCACUACACUACCAGAGGCCGGGGCACUGGGAGAAGCUCACACACAGCCUUUCAACCAGCUAGUGGGCAAAGAUUCAAACUGGAACCAUCACAGAGAGAAGAGACAGACAUGAAGAUGUUGUCAGGUCUUCAGCUGCUGUCGUCUUCUCCUCCUGCACAGACAACAACACGCAUUGAUCACACAAACUCAUCUUGUGUGAAUUACCUGGAGGCCUGUGUCUCAAAGAUCUUCUUCAUUGUACAAAGACUCUGGACAAAGUGGAGACACCUGGAGGAAACAUACAAAGGAAAAUGAUCAAUACACUACUGCCUAUUCCUCAUCAACAGUUCAACAUUACAGCUGAAACUGAACAUUUAACUAAAUAUUUUUAUGCCUGACUAUAAAGUGACUUUUAUUUCUAUUACUUCUAAAAUUAGAUUACUUUUACCAUUACAUACUACUUCUACAUUUACAUUUAACUGUUUCAAACUACAUCUAGUAACAGAUUACUUUGACUUGUAUUUCACUUCUUAUUAUUUCAAACAGUGCAAUAUCAGUACUCAAAUCCAACUAUCACUCUGUACACAGUCUUGUAUAUAUAAUGCCCUUUUCUAUUGUUGUUGUUGUUGUUGAUUAUGUUACUCAAAUAAAUACUUCUAAAGAAUAUUUUGUUACUGUGACAUUUAGUGACUCCUUACUAUGCUGACAUUUUACAACAGUUUUGUGAUGCUUUACAGACAUUUUGGAUCACUGUUACUUCUGCAUUGCUUUUAUAUUACAAAUUACUUUUACUAUUACCUCUAAUAUUAGAUUGCUCUACCAUUCUACUGUUUUUCUUAUUACAUUUUACUUCUAAAUCUACUGAUUACUUUAACUAACUAAUGCUAAUCAGCUGAAACUGAACAUUUAACUAAAUAUUUUUAUUUUUAUUUAUAUUUUAAGUGACUUAUUUCUAUUUUGGAUUACUAUUACUUCUAAAAUUAGAUUACUUCUACCAUUACAUACUACUUCUACAUUUACAUUUAACUGUUUCAAACUACAUCUAGUAACAGAUUACUUUGACUUGUAUUUCACUUCUUAUUAUUUCAAACAGUGCAAUAUCAGUACUCAAAUCCAAUCUAUCACUGUGUACACAAUACUGUUCAUAUUGUUACAGCUUGUCUUGUGUGUAUAUAUAAUGCAUUUUUGUUGUUGUGACUGAUACAAGGAUUGUUACUCAAAUAAAUACUUCUAAAGAAUA